UACGGAGGGUGCGAGCGUUGUCCGGAAUCACUGGGCGUAAAGGGCGCGUAGGCGGCGCGAGCAGUCGGUCGUGAAAGUCCGGAGCUCAACUCCGGAUCGGCGGUCGAUACUCUCGUGCUUGAGCACUGUAGAGGCAGGUGGAAUUCCGGGUGUAGCGGUGGAAUGCGUAGAGAUCCGGAAGAACACCGGUGGCGAAGGCGGCCUGCUGGGCAGUAGCUGACACUGAGGCGCGACAGCGUGGGGAGCAAACAGG
rnacentral:rRNA from 1 species